rnacentral:rRNA from 1 species
UACGUAGGCAGCAAGCGUUGUUCGGAAUUAUUGGGCGUAAAGAGUGUGUAGGCGGUGCUCUAAGUUCGGUGUGAAAUCUCCUGGCUCAACUGGGAGGGUGCGCCGGAAACUGGAGUGCUUGAGCGUGGGAGAGGAAAGCGGAAUUCCUGGUGUAGCGGUGAAAUGCGUAGAUAUCAGGAGGAACACCUGUGGUGUAGACGGCUUUCUGGACCAUAGCUGACGCUGAGACACGAAAGCGUGGGUAGCAAACAGG